rnacentral:rRNA from 1 species
UGGGGAAUUUUGGACAAUGGGGGAAACCCUGAUCCAGCCAUCCCGCGUGUGCGAUGAAGGCCUUCGGGUUGUAAAGCACUUUUGGCAGGAAAGAAACGUCGCGGGUUAAUACCCCGCGAAACUGACGGUACCUGCAGAAUAAGCACCGGCUAACUACGUGCCAGCAGCCGCGGUAAUACGUAGGGUGCAAGCGUUAAUCGGAAUUACUGGACGUAAAGCGUGCGCAGGCGGUUCGGAAAGAAAGAUGUGAAAUCCCAGAGCUUAACUUUGGAACUGCAUUUUUUAACUACCGGGCUAGAGUGUGUCGGAGGGAGGUGGAAUUCCGCGUGUAGCAGUGAAAUGCGUAGAUAUGCGGAGGAACACCGAUGGCGAAGGCAGCCUCCUGGGAUAACACUGACGCUCAUGCACGAAAGCGUGGGGAGCAAACAGGAUUAGAUACCCUGGUAGUCCACGCCCUAAACGAUGUCAACUAGCUGUUGGGGGCCUUCGGGCCUUGGUAGCGCAGCUAACGCGUGAAGUUGACCGCCCGGGGAGUACGGUCGCAAGAUUAAAACUUAAAUGAAUUGACGGGGUCAUAGCUGUUUCCU